GCUUGUCUCAAAGAUUAAGCCAUGCAUGUCUAAGUAUAAAUGGUAUACAGUGAAACUGCGAAUGGCUCAUUAAAACAGUUAUAGUUUAUUUGGUAUUCGAAUUUACAUGGAUAACCGUGGUAAUUCUAGAGCUAAUACAUGCAUUACGCCUGACUUUUCGGAAGGGCAGUAUUUAUUAGAUACAAACCAACAUCGUGGUGAUUCAUAAUAACUUUGCGAAUCGUAUGCCUCACGGCGACGAUGAAUCAUUCAAAUUUCUGCCCUAUCAGCUUUCGACGGUAGUGUAGUGGACUACCGUGGCGCUAACGGGUGACGGAGAAUUAGGGUUCGGUUCCGGAGAGGGAGCCUGAGAAACGGCUACCACAUCCAAGGAAGGCAGCAGG
rnacentral:rRNA from 1 species